CCUACGGGUGGCUGCAGUGAGGAAUAUUGGUCAAUGGGCGGGAGCCUGAACCAGCCAAGUCGCGUGAGGGAAGACGGUCCUAUGGAUUGUAAACCUCUUUAGGCGGGGAGCAAUGCCGGGCACGCGUGCCCGGAGGGAGAGUACCCGCAGAAUAAGCAUCGGCUAACUCCGUGCCAGCAGCCGCGGUAAUACGGAGGAUGCGAGCGUUAUCCGGAUUUAUUGGGUUUAAAGGGUGCGUAGGCGGUCUGUUAAGUCAGCGGUAAAAUUGCGGGGCUCAACCCCGUCGAGACGUUGAAACUGGCAGACUUGAGUUGGCGAGAAGUACGCGGAAUGCGCGGUGUAGCGGUGAAAUGCUUAGAUAUGACGAAGAACCCCGAUUGCGAAGGCAGCUUGCUGCAGCGGAACUGACGCUGAUGCUCGAAAGCGCGGGUAUCGAACAGGAUUAGAUACCCGGGUAGUC
rnacentral:rRNA from 1 species